rnacentral:rRNA from 1 species
UAUGGCGGCUUUAAUUCAAAUUAGAGAUCUUUGGGCAUAAACGAGAGUCCACGAAAAUCUUACUUAAUAUUGUAAAACAUUUUUUAUAUCGCCGUCUUCAAGAAAAAUUGAAUAAAAUUUUUCAAAAAAUUUAAUAAUUAAAAAGACAGGUAAACAUGAAGAUUAUUAUUAAGAAUAAAUCUGAAGAUCAUUAGUUUACAAGAAUGAGGAAAAUGAAAGUUUUCCAAAAAUGAAUUUAAAAGUAAAUUUAUUUUAUUAUAAUAAAUUGAAAUUUGUUAAUUUAAGUGUACACAUCGCCCGUCGCUCUA